CUUUAAUAAAGCCAAACUAUCUGUAGAGAUAGGACGGAAAGCAAUGGGGCUCAAGUAGAUCGCCAAGCCACUCAG
rnacentral:ncRNA from 1 species